ensembl:snRNA U4 U4 spliceosomal RNA
AGCUUUGCGCAGUGGCAGUAUCGUAGCCUGUGAGGUUAAUCCGAGGCGCGAUUAUUGCUAGUUGAAAACUUUUCCCAAUACCCCGCCAUGACGACUUAAAAUAUAGUCGGCAUUGGCAAUUUUUGAGGGCCUCCAUGGAGG